UACGUAGGGCGCAAGCGUUAUCCGGAAUUAUUGGGCGUAAAGAGCUCGUAGGCGGUUUGUCGCGUCUGCCGUGAAAGUCCGGGGCUCAACUCCGGAUCUGCGGUGGGUACGGGCAGACUAGAGUGCGGUAGGGGAGAUUGGAAUUCCUGGUGUAGCGGUGGAAUGCGCAGAUAUCAGGAGGAACACCGAUGGCGAAGGCAGAUCUCUGGGCCGUAACUGACGCUGAGGAGCGAAAGCGUGGGGAGCGAACAGG
rnacentral:rRNA from 1 species